UACGGAGGGUGCAAGCGUUGUUCGGAAUUAUUGGGCGUAAAGCGCGCGCAGGCGGCUGGAUAAGUCCAGGGGUGAAAUGCCGGAGCUCAACUCCGUGCGUGCCCCGGAUACUGUCUGGCUGGAGACACGUAGAGGCAAGCGGAAUUUCGGGUGUAGCGGUGGAAUGCGUAGAGAUCCGAAAGAACACCGGAGGCGAAGGCGGCUUGCUGGGCGUGAUCUGACGCUGAGGCGCGAAAAGCGUGGGGGAGCGAACAGG
rnacentral:rRNA from 1 species